AGCAGUCGCCACGGUAAUACGUAGGUGGCGAGCGUUGUCCGGAAUUAUUGGGCGUAAAGGGAGCGCAGGCGGACAUAUAAGUCCAUCUUAAAAGUGCGGGGCUCAACCCCGUGAGGGGAUGGAAACUGUAUGCCUUGAGUGUAGGAGAGGAAAGCGGAAUUCCCAGUGUAGCGGUGAAAUGCGUAGAUAUUGGGAGGAACACCAGUGGCGAAGGCGGCUUUCUGGACUGCAACUGACGCUGAGGCUCGAAAGCCAGGGGAGCGAACGGGAUUAGAUACCCCAGUAGUCCCUGUCUCUUAUACC
rnacentral:rRNA from 1 species